AACGAACGCUGGCGGCGUGCCUAACACAUGCAAGUCGGACGAGAAAGUUUCCUUCGGGAAGCGAGUAAAGUGGCGCACGGGUGAGUAACACGUAGACAACCUGCCUUCCAGUCCGGGACAACCUUUCGAAAGAAGGGCUAAUACCGGAUAACACUUUGGGCCGCAUGGCCCGGGGUUGAAAGAUUCAUCGCUGGAAGAGGGGUCUGCGGGACAUUAGCUCGUUGGCGGGGUAACGGCCCACCAAGGCGACGANGUCUAGCGGGUCGUGAGAGGAUGAUCCGCCACACUGGAACUGAGACACGGUCCAGACUCCUACGGGAGGGCAGCAGUGGGGAAGUUUUGUCGCAAUGGGCGAAAGCCUGACGCAGCAACGCCGCGUGAGUGAAGAAGGCCUUCGGUCGUAAGACUC
rnacentral:rRNA from 1 species